rnacentral:ncRNA from 1 species
AAAUAGACUCUAUGAAUAUGAUUAAAAGGGAAUCAGGUGUGAAUCCUGAGCAGACCCGCUGCUGUAUUCUCCACAAAAGUCUUUGAACAACAAAUACAUCCACUGUUCAUCAAUGAAUGGGAAGGAACGUUCAAAGAUGGAGUAAGUCAGAAGACCUGCCAAAAUCUUU